UAUAAGGAAUAAGUUGGAUUCUGUGAUAUAAUAACAUUUUAUGAGAGGCUUACUCUUCACAUCACAAUGACCAUUUCUAUCACAAACUAUGUUUCUGAUGAAUACAGUUAUGUCUCAUUAACUAGAAUACUCCUAUCUGGAGCCCAUCUACAGUGUUGACCAUGGCCCCAGCCACCUGCCUUCCCACCAUCAGGAAUUUCUUCCAGGAUAAACUUCCAGGAUAGUCCAAUAUCGGUGGUUUGUGGGCACAGGGAUGCUGGACUGACACAUAUUGGGCUGCUCUAACUCUUCUUCACCUCCAGUUAAACUGCUACCAAUAAAAUAUCAUCCAAUGUCCAAAUGAAGAAAAAUUUCUUCAAUUAUUUAAUAUUUGGAAUGUGCAUCUUGAACAUCUAUAUUGUCUGUGAAAUUGGAGGGUACAAGAUGAAGACACAUAACCAGUUUUUAUUAUUAAUUGAAUAAAUAUUUAUUGAAAAUCUGCUAUUUGCCAGGAACUGUAAUGGUUGCUCUUGAUAUAGCUGUGAACCCCGAUGGGGACUGGAAAAGAUUUAGCAUUUUCUACUUUGAGUUCCUAGAAAUGACUAGGAGCAAUCUUUCUUUUCUGUGCAUUGGUUUUUUAAUCUAAUAAUAAUGAUACCUUGCUCACAGAAAUGUAAAAAGAUGACAUGAGAUUGUACCUGUGAGGCAUGUAUGUAGUGUCUGGUACAUAGUGAAGAUGGUGGUGAUGAUGGUGGUGGGGAUGAUGGUGAUGAAGAUGAUGUUGUUGAUGAUGGUGAUGAUGGAAUGAUGAUGAUAGUUAUGGGGGAGAUGGUGCUGAUGGUGCUGAUGGUGAUGAUGAUGAUGAUGGUCAUGAUGGUAGUGACGAGAUGGUGGUGGUGAUGGUGAUGAUAAUGAUGGUGAUGAUAGUGACGAGGUGGUGGUGGUGAUGACGGUGAUGAUGAUGGUGAUGACGGUGGUCACUGUAAUUGUUUUUUAAAUGUUAGUUGGUUGGUUUGUCCCCGAGAGGGUCUGGAGAUAGAAAUUCUGACCUGAAACCAUUCAUCCAACAUGUAUUUGUUAACCAUUAGCCUCGUACAAAAUUCUGUGAUUAGCACAUGAAGGUCUCUGACAUCUUCAAAGAACUCUUACCUCCAGACAACAUAUAUCGACACUGGGGGCUGUUAGUCUACAGAGGAAAUAUAACACAAUCCCAGCCUCUGUCAGACCUGCAUCUCCACCCGUUACAGCCUCACUCUCUCCCGUCUCAUUCUACCACAGCUCAGCUUCAAAGCCUGGGCCAUGUUUGCUUUCUCCAUCAUCCCUCAGCUCACUGCCUGACUUCUGCUGCUGUCCCUUGAGGUGAAACUUCUUCUGCCAAAGCCAUCAAUGCCCCCACUGUACAGACUGAAGGCAUGGCUGUCCAUCCUUCACUAGCCUGAUUUUCCCAGCAUUAGACACCAUUAACCACCCUCUUUUAAACAGUCUAGAAGACCACUGGUCCCUGAUUUCCCUUCUGUUCUUCUGGCUACUGUGCAGAAUCUUUCAUGAGAUCUCCUCUUAUCCCUUCAUCAUCUGUGUUGCCCUGACCUUGCACUUAAAGCUCUUUCCUCUUCCUCUCCUGCUCUUGCAGAAUAGCUGCUACAGGACCCAAAGCUUCAGUUCCAUCUACACAAAGAGGAUUCCAAAAAUCCAUAGCUCUAAAUACCAUGUCUUCUCAGGCUUAAUAUCCAAAUGCCAACAGAAAGCUUUCCCUGGAUGUUUCACUGGCACAUUACCUACAGCAUUUACCAUUUAUUCCUCUCCACUCAGCAUCCACUCUUACCCUUUCUCUGUGAUUGGUCAUACCAUCCUUUCAGUUGCCAUCAUCAGAAACCUAGGGACAGCCUACCUCCCUCUCAGUCUUUAAACGUGCACCUAAGAGUCACUUCCUUUGAGCAUCUUUCCAAGAACCCUCAUCUAAUCCAGAUGGUCCAACUCUGAGACGUUGUAACACCUUCACACAUUUUUAUCUUAAAUCUCAUCAUACUGUAUUAUGAUAUUUCAUUCGUAUGCCCUGCUAGACUAUAAACUUCUUGUAGGCAGGAAAUACAUCAUGUCCUGACCCAGAAAAGUGCCUAAAUAUUCAAUGAGUCUUGGUCCUAAAAAAAAAUGGUUCAGUAGAUUAAUCAACACAAUAAAUGAAUGGUAUAUAUUUUAAAAUUUGGCAAACAAGAUAAGAUGGCAAGUAACCAACAUGUAAUAUAAAAUGCAAGUUCCUGAUCCUCUCUAAGACCUAGGGGGUCAGACUCACUUUAGCAGGAGUGGGGAGAGGUGGGGGAAGCACCUGCUUCUGGAGCAAGUACUGCGUGCUGAACCCUCUGUGGGGGUGUCACAUGAAACCCAUUCAGUUCUUCAAAGGAAGAAAAAGCAUAGGAGUUCCCUGGUGAUUCAGUGGGUUAGGGAUCCAGCAUUGUCCCUGCUGUGGAUCAGGCCACUGAUGUGUGCAGGUUUGAUCCCAGCCCUUGGAACUUGAGCAUACUGUAGGCAUGGCCAAAAAAUUAAAAAAGAAAAGCAAAAACAUCAUGUUGCCCAUCUAACCAAUGAGGGAACUUGGUCAUAAAGAAGUCUGGUCUCUUGCCCAUGGUCCAGGUUCUGGUGGCAGGUCCAGAUUUACAGCUGGGCAACUUGGCCCCUGACAGGUGUUCUUUCCUCCACAGUCUGGUUCUUGUGUGGAUGAUCCACUUUCCACCUGGCACAGUGUAAGCUGUAAUGAGACUCAGGAAGGAUGAGACUCUCAUAACUCCUAUUGAGCAUUUAGAAAACACAUUUUAUGGCUUGUAGGUCUCAAUAUAAUGUUUUUGUUAUUUGAUUUAUAGAACUAUCUGUGGUGUGACUAUAAGGUAAUGAGUCUGAUUUUAUUGGAUGGCUUGAGGAAAUUGGUCUCUACAGGAAUCUCCAGCCUUCCUAGAAGGAGAUGUUCAAUACAGUGGAUGCCUGUGAUCAACCAUUGAGGACUCUGGGUGCUAGGGAGGGAAUGAGAGCAGGAAGUGUCCCCGGUGGGGAUGGACUUGGACCCUCUGCUACUGGCUUGGCUUUGCUGACAUCCUGCAGACCAUGGAAAGUGGACAUCAGUUCUCUUGUGCAGCAAACAUUUGCUAGUAUUUACUCUGUUCCAAGCUCUAGUCCACUAAAGAGGAAUGCAAGAUGAGCAGAAGAAACACCUGCUCUCAGGGACCCCAUAAUCCUAAUGAGAGAGAGGCAAUUAUACAUAUACACAUGCACAAGGCACUUUGAAGGAAGAGUAUGGGAUAAGGGAGCUGAUGUUAGAGCAACUGGAUUCUACCAACAUCAGUAAAUCCCUCUUUCGGCCUUGGGAAAUACCUUGUCUAUAUCUUUUUAUGAUGCAAAUCUGUGUGGCUUAUGUUUUUGUUGUUGUUAUUGUCAUUGUUGCUUUGUUCGUGUUGGUCACUUUGGGCAUGCCAAAGAGAAGAGGAAUUGUGUGUUCAUUGAGAGCAGCAGCCACUGUGCUGGGCAUGGAGGGGUGAGCUGUCUUAAUUCCCAGGGCAGCCUUUGAAGAUGCUCCUGUUAACCCUGUUUACAGAGGAGAAGGUAUAGACUCAAAGAGAAUAAGCAACAUGCCCCAGAUCUCAAAGUUAUAAGAGGCAGAGCUGGGAUGCAAAAGAUGAAACUUAACUCCUGCCUGCUGUUGCCUGUCUCCCUGGCCCAGCAAAGGAGGACUGACAGAGAGGAUGUGCUGUGGUUGAUGAUGGAAAGAGGUCAGAGCAAGAUCCCACUGACCUGAAGUCUGACCUCGGGUCAGCAGCGGAUGAGGAAAACCACUCAACAUCUCUUAGCCUCAGAAGACCUCAUCACAAGAGAAAAAACACACUGCAGCUAUCACACAGGGAAUGCUUUGCAUUUUACUUUGGACAGAACUUGUCUCUCAUCCAAAGCAUGCCAUCCUGGUAUGUGUUUCUAUUUCUUGGAACUUCCUUGAGCCUAGACCUAAAAACUGAAGGCUUUUAGGUCAGUUCAUUUUGAGUUCUUAUCUCUCUGUUCACUAGCAAACAUCUCGUAUUUACAAUACCUCCACGUCCCAAGGACCCGAGACAGCCAGUAGCCUCCGGUUAAGCCAUGUUUCCUCAGUUUUCCUGCCCCACUGGAUCCGCUUGAUUUAGGUCAGUUUCUGUAAUAUAAAUAUGCACCAUGCACAGGCUUUUUACUUUAUUUCUUCCUAAUGCACACACAAAGCAGCUGGGUACAAUCUUCUCUCAGAUAAACACAAGCUGUAAGUUUUCCUUAUUUAUGAAUAACACACAGUUUGAAAUUGCUUUUACAACUGGAUACAAAUUUCAUGCGAUAAAUGCAGAUAUUUCUGUUGGAUCCAGAGCUCCCCACAGCCACCCGUGUCUAGGCAGUCCCUCCACGGUACAACAAAAUCGUAUCAAUAACCACUUUGAUCCUUAGGUGACUUCUAGUUCUAAAAUUGGCUCUUUAGAAUUAGAGAGAGACCCAUUCAGUUUCCCUUCUGUCUCUCUCUCUCUCUCUCUCUCUCACACACACACACACAACUUCUGGCCAACUUGGGAAUUCGUCUGCCCUGCUCUGUAUGGCUUAUCUGUCCCCAAAGCCACUUUAGAGAAGAAGCUCAUGAUGAAGGGGGAAUUAGGUCUCUUUCUACAGACAUUUAUUGGAUGCUUACUGAGUGCCAGGCAGGGUACCGACCAUUUUACUUGCAGUAUUUCAUUGAACACUCACAAAUACUGUACAUGGGUGUUACCAUCACUGCAUCUAUUUAUAGAUGGGGAAACUAAGAACAAUCAAAGUUAAGGGUAUUUUGUAAAGCCACCCAGAAGUAGGUUUUAGGGGUAGGAUUCAGAGGGACUCCAGUCUCCAAGUUCUGGUCAGACCCACUACCUAGUAAGACAAGGGCUUUUGUUUGACCUACAUAGCUGGUAAGUUACAGUAGAAACAAGACUUAAGGGGUUCUGGGAGUUCCCAUUGUGGUGCAGCAGAAAUGAAUCUGACUAGUAUCUGUGAGGAUGUGUGUUUAAUCCCUGGCCCCACUCAGUGGGUUAAGGAUCCCAUGUUGCUGUGGCUGUGGUAUAGGCCAGCAGCUGUAGCUCCAAUUCGACCCAUAGCCUGGAAACUUCCAUAUGCUGAGGGUGUGGCC
rnacentral:lncRNA from 1 species